AUGUUCCCACACGCAGUUGACCGUAGUUGCCACUGGCAUAUCGUUAAGAAAGCCCAAGAGAAGUUGGGUGCUUACUUGGCUAGGCAUCCUGAGCUAGCUAAAGAACUCAAUGAGGUGAUAGACUUGAGCAUGACUCCUGAGGAGUUUGAGGCAAGGUGGGCUGCUAUGGUUGAGAAGCAUGGUAUUGCUGGCGAUAAAUGCUUUGAUGAUCUCUAUGCAAGCAAGCAUCUUUGGGUCCCUUGUUACUUUAGGAACUGUUUCUUCCCAUUCCUGCAGUCGACUCAGCGUAGUGAAGGCUUCAAUACUGUCCUAAAAAGGUACAUGAACCCGCAAAAUUCUGUGGUCAACUUUGUGAAGCAAUAUGAGAAGAUAAAUGACAAGAUCUUGGUGAAAUAAGGGGGUAAUGAUUACUGA
rnacentral:rRNA from 1 species